UAAGCUUUUGAGGUGGUAAUCUUGUCAUUAUUAACUUCUUUCAUUUUCAAGAGUUAGACAAUGAUAUGAGGAAGUGUAAGGAAGAGUUCAAGGAGUUUGAAAGGCAUGAUGUUAACUACCAGAAAGAUUUUAAGCACAUAAGUCAGAAGAUCAAAAAGCUAGAGGAUAAACUAGAAAAGGUAGAGAAGCAAGUCAUAGUUCAUUGCAACGAGACAUAUAAUUCUUUUGUUUCUACUUUGUAUGUCAGGAUUCAUCCAAAAUUGAAGCCCUUAUGAAAAAGGGCGAGGAAUCCACUGAUUUGAUACCAAAACUUGAGGACAAUAUUCUAAAACUGCAAAAGUUAUUGCUUGAUGAGGAGAAGAUCUUGGAUGAAAUCACAAAGAGUUCCAAAGGCUACCAAUGAUAUGGACAAAAGGCCAUUUUCCAUGAGUAUCUCAUUUUAUAAAGGUUGUUCUGGUAGUUGAAAACUUGAUGGUUAACAUUGCAUUCACCAUUGUUUUGGUUAUCCAAGAUCACUAGCAUGUAAUCUUUACAGAAUGGAAAUGUUCAAGGAGUACUAAUAGAGAUUGAAGAAAGUCUUCUAAUUGUUGUAAGUCUCCCUUAUUGAUUCUUUCUAUAUAUUCAUGCUAAGAAUUUGAU